GCAGGUGCUGGGAUUGUGUGGAUCCAGCAAACGUGUGUUUUGGAGCAGGGCAAGUCGAAGAGGAGGGGACAGCACAUCUGUCAAGGCAAUUACCAGCGCCAGAAAGGGAGCAAGCGGAUCAGGGGAUUGUGCUGAAGGUUACAGUGUUUAUCACCGUGGCAGAAUUUCACCGGGAUCCCAGGAGCGCUUUGCCUGGCACACGUAUCUCCGUACAGUGGCUCCCAUCAGGAAACUGGUUCAAACAGCUGCCAUGAAAUGUCCUGGACAUAUAGAGAGGUCACAACUUGCCUUUUUUUCUGGAAAAAAUAGAGGCCAGCAUUUGAAAAGUGCCAGUUUUCCAGAAUCUCACUGUGAAGGGCACAGAUCUCUCUCUGCCAGGUUACAAAAAGCAGUUCUCUGGAUUCCAGAAAUCAGCUCCCAGUUCCAGUUUUACCCAUAAACGUUUCCUUAGCCACCAGCAUCUUCAACAGGCUGUUGGCAUCAGUAAAGGCCCAAUUAAAAUAUCAGCAGUGCAUUGCAAUUUCCUGCCUUGUCCUUGCAGCAGAAACCAAUGAAGAUGAGGUCUGUGUGUUUCAUUUUAAACACACUAAAAGUUGUUCAUGUUUCCAGAUCUUUCAACAACUUGGACAUAAUGAAGGAGUGCUAAUUUGUUUACCCUAAGUAGUCCUAAAGAGGUAAUACCAUCAGUGCAGACGCUAGCAGUGCAGAGCAGAUGUAAACACUCUCCAGCCGAGAUCUUGAGAAUGGAAAGAAUUAUACUGGAUAAGCUUCAGUGGGAUCUUUACACAGAAACACCAAUUGAUUUCUUAAACAUUUUCCAUGCCAUGGUGAUGUCCAGCUGGCCCCAUCUCCCACCCAGACUGCCUCAGAGGAAUCCUUCCCUCCACGUUGCACUCUUGACCAAGCAGCUGCAGCACUGUAUGGCCUGCCACCAACUCGUGCAGUUUAAGGGCUCCACGUUGGUUUUGGUGAUCAUCACCUUGGAGCUGGAGAGGCAGACUCCUGGUUGGUUUGUUGUUACUGCUGAUCUGCUAAAAAAAGCACAGGUGAGCAGCACUGAAUUCAUGCACUGCCAAGAGCUUGUGGAUCUGGAGUUAAUGUGCUUGCAGGCACCCAAUGCUGUUAAUAUUUUCUAUCCCAUCAGCCAAGCUGUGCAGGGCCAUCCCAAGGCAAGGCUACCCUGCCAGCCCCUUCUGAAUGGCAGAGUUCCCAACAAGGGAGGCUGAGGGUUGCUGUAGCCAGCCUGUUUCAGCCCCUUAAUACAGCCCAAAUUCCUGAUCAAACCCCUGAGACUGAAGAAUGCUGAGAUGGAUUCACUCCUGCACAGUGAGGGUGGGGAGGUGAGUGCUGGGAGGAUGAACACAGGAGGAUCCUGCCCUCAGCUGAGCUGCUCCUGUCCUCCCUUACAGCCACCCAAAAAGGAUUUAUGGAGAAUUACUGCCUUGGAAGCAGCACCUGCAGAACCAGCAGGUCCCAGCAAACAGAACAGCCAGAACAACAGGGCAAAAGUGUCACUGUGCUUCUCAGAGGACAAAGACACUUGGUAUUUUCAGUCAGUUUUUUAUGUCCUCCCUAAGCAGUAUGUGCUACCCCUCACGUUUAAGAUUAUGUAAAGACAGAAAGCUGGGGAGAGGAGGGACUUGGUCACAGUCCUGCAGCCCAGGGUUCCAGUUGGCAGGCAGCUACAAACUUCAUGGAGAACCAAAUGCCUCAGAGUUUAUUUUUAAAAUAGCCAUGAUGAAGUUUGACAGAUCGAGCCUUUCAUCCAGCUCAUGCCAUUGUUCUCUCAUUAGAGCUGAUCUGGCUCAGCCCAUGGGAGCUGAACAGGAGCUGCUGCUGUCGAGGAAUGGGCAGCCCCCACUGCUGCCUUUGCAAGAGAUCUCAGAUGGAACCAAGGCUUUCAUUCAGCAGUGAGAAGCUUGAAUCAAACCUCCAGUUUUCCUUAAGGCCUUACCUUGUAAUCCAGGGGUCUGGGAUCUGUGCUUUUUCCUGGUUAAGCCAUUACAGACUCUGUCACAGUUCCUAUGAAAUGUGGGAAAUCACUUCUUGUCUACAAUCACCAUUGCCUUGAGCUCUCACCAACCAGCACAUGCUGGUCGGGGUUUUAAAAUUUAUUCUGUCUUACCGGAUUAGACAAAAUAAAAUGCCUUUAAUAAUUCCCCUCCACCACUACAACCACAUUAUUUCUUACAAAUUGCUUCAUCUUCAUACCAAAGUAGUUUCACAAAGGUCAGAAUAAACCACUCUUGCACUUUUAAAAACCAGCUUCACAAAUCCUUUUAAAAUUAGUGGAGGUUUUGUUUUAAACAAUAGGCAUUUUUAGGUGAUUGUUACCCUAGUUUGAGGGUAUAUUCCAGCCAGUAUGGGAUGGGUAACAGCACCACACCUGCCAUCCUGUCACAGA